rnacentral:rRNA from 1 species
CGACGUGGAUAACCUGCCUCACACAGGGGGAUAACAGUUAGAAAUGACUGCUAAUACCGCAUAAGCGCACGGCAUCGCAUGAUGCAGUGUGAAAAACUCCGGUGGUGUGAGAUGGAUCCGCGUCUGAUUAGGUAGUUGGUGGGGUAACGGCCACCAAGCCGACGAUCAGUAGCCGACCUGAGAGGGUGACCGGCCACAUUGGGACUGAGACACGGCCCAA